rnacentral:misc_RNA from 1 species
CCAGUCGACGCCGAGAUGCCGCCACGCGCGGUCACCGAGCGGCCCGCUGCCCCGCGGCGGCGCGCUGCGCCCGGCGUCAACACAUCGCUGCUGGCGUGCUGCGCGUGCUUCCCGACGUGCUUGUUGUUGUUCCUCGCGUCCGCGUCCGUCGUGACCGUGGCGGCCCAGGACGUCGACGUGCCCGUCCCCACCUUCGAGGCCUUCCACCCCAAAGGCCUGCGCGUCUCCAUUCCAGACAUCGACGGCCUGGAGAUCUUCGCCUUCCACGGCAACGUCAACAAGCCGCUGCACAACCUGGAGGCGGGCGAGAUGUCCGUGGACGUGACCGCCAAGAAGGCGGGCCGCUGGGAGUACUUCAACGAGAACCGGCGCCUCAAGGCGGGGGACGUCAUCAACUACUGGGUCUGGAUCCAGGUGGACCGCAAGGGCUACCAGCGGCUCGGCCUCAGCCACCGCAUCACAGAACUGGUGCCACUGGGAGUCGACUCACAGUCGAACGCCCUAAGGCCCGAGGCCCGGCCCGUACUGACUAUGAGCCUCGAGGACCUGCUAGAGAGCCUUCAGGGCCAGCAGGGCGGCCAGAGCGGCCAGGGGGCCUCCGACUUGGAGUCCCGCCCCACCCAGCAGACCCAGCUCCAGGAGCAGUACCGCCCUCGUCCUCAGCGUCCUUCCGAGUCCCGCCCUCGUCCUCAGCGUCCUUCCGAGUCCCGCCCUUCCAACCCUUACGACUCGCGGCCGUCGACCGGGGGGUCUUGGUCUCCAGGAGGAGAGUCGACAGAGUACAGACCCCCGCCUGGAGACUACAGACCACCCCCUGGAGACUACAGGCCCCCGCCUGGAGACUACAGACCUCCACCUGGCGACUACAGACCACCUGCAGGUGGCAACCGACCCCCACCUGACGAGUACCGACCACCUGCAGGUGGCAACCGACCCCCACCCGACGAGUACCGGCCCAAGCCCAGCGAGUACAGGCCGCCAGGCAGCCACUACGGAGCCCGGCCGCCUCCGCCCCCAACUUACAACCACGAGUACCCUCCUCCGCCACCCGUCGCCGCCACCGUGGUGCACGUUUCACACGUGCAGCACAACCACCACGUCGGGUUCGCGAGCGGCGAGGACAACCACGGACAAGGCCAGGAGCGGCCGACGAACAACGUCUACCCGUCCCAGCCCAACUACCCCGUGGACCGGCCCACGCAGCCGACGCACCAGGGCCUGGAACGGCCCACGACCGGCCCCACCGACUACGAGCCCACCCUGGCCGCCGUCAGCCCCACCACCUGGUGGCAGGGCGGUUCGAACCAAGGGGGGGACCAGGGGGCGAACCAGGGCGCGGUUCCUGCGGGACUUCCCCUGACGCCGGGUGAUCGGGUUUCAGAACCUCCGCCGGCAGCCCGACCGGGCCGACCCACUGGACCCACCCACACCUGCGAACUGUCCGCCACCCACGUGAACGGCAGGCCCGCCUGCAAGGGGGAGGUGGUCUUCGAGGAGAACUGGAACUCCCUGGACCGGCGGAAGUGGUCGCACGAGGUCAAAAUAUCCGGCAGCCCGGACUUCGAGUUCUGCAUCUACGCGCAGCACCCCGAGAACACGUUCGUCAAGAACGGGUGGCUGCACCUCAAGGCGUCGCUGACCAACGACAAGUACGGAGACGACUUCGUGCGGAAGGGGAACCUGCAGCUGGAAGGCUGCACCGCGGGCCCACUCAACUCGGAGAGCUGCAGCAGGGAGGCCAUGUUCUCGUACAUCCUGCCGCCCGUCGUCGCGUCGCGCCUCACCACCAAGAACAGCUUCAGCUUCAAGUACGGCAAGGUGGAGGUGCGGGCCCGCCUGCCUCGCGGCGACUGGAUGUACCCGGAGGUGUGGCUGCAGCCGCUGCGCGAGGAGUACGGCGCGGGGCUGGCGUCGGGCAGGAUUCACCUGGCCAUGGCGCGCGGCAACACCAAGCUGCAGGGCCCGGCGCCGGGCCGCCAGGACAUCAGCGGCCGCGAGCUGGCGGUCGGGGUGCUCGCCGGCGGCAAGGGCACGGGCUCGGCCGACGCCCGCAAGAAGUUCUUCACCAAGCGCAACGACGUGGGCCACUGGGGCGCCGACUUCCACAACUACUCCCUGCUCUGGACUCCAGAUACCUUGGCGUUUUCUGUGGACGGUGUGGAGUUGGGCGUCGCGCGGCCGGAGGAGGUCGGAGGACUUCUCCGCGGCCAGGACAACGAAGGGGACGACCCAUGGUCUCACGGGUCAAAGAUAGCGCCCUUCGACAAGGAGUUUUACAUCAGCCUUGGACUUGCGGUUGGAGGGAUUCACGCCUUCCCUGAUGGCUGUCGGAGUGGAAACCAUGACAAGCCCUGGAAAAACACAGCUGCUAAGGCUAUGCUGAGCUUCUGGAAUGCUAGGGAGGUGUGGCACUCUACAUGGAAUGGCCAACAAGCCGAGUUACUGGUCGAAUCAGUUCGUGUCACUGCAUUAAACAACUAGGACGACCAAAAUGUUCUAUUUAAAAUAUCUUUUAAGACUGAAAAAUGUGCUCAUUAGAUAGGUUAUGCACCAAUGUAGCAUGUUUCAAUAUAAUUACUGUACUGCUUUUUGUGACUAGUGUUUCAGUCCAUUGAAAUAUUUCGGAAGGUGAGGCAUAAUUAAAAUUGAGUCUGGCUUAAGUCUUGGGCCACAUGUAGAAAUGCGGAACUCAUUAAGAUGGUAAACAGGAAUGGAUGAUGUGAUACAUAGGAAUACAUGGAAUAAAAAUGAUCUGAGUAUACCAUA